rnacentral:rRNA from 1 species
CCUACGGGGAGCUGCAGUGGGGAAUAUUGCACAAUGGGGGAAACCCUGAUGCAGCAACGCCGCGUGAGCGAAGAAGGCCUUCGGGUCGUAAAGCUCUGUCCUAAGGGAAGAAGCAUGACGGUACCUUAGGAGGAAGCCCCGGCUAACUAGGUGCCAGCAGCCGCGGUAAUACGUAGGGGGCGAGCGUUAUCCGGAAUCACUGGGCGUAAAGGGUGCGUAGGCGGCCAAUUAAGCCAGAGGUGAAAGGCUACGGCUCAACCGUAGUAAGCCUUUGGAACUGAAUGGCUUGAGUGCAGGAGAGGAGUGUGGAAUUCCAUGUGUAGCGGUGAAAUGCGUAGAUCUCAGGAGGAACCACAGUGGCGAAGGCGACUCUCUGGACUGUAACUGACGCUGAGGAACGAAAGCGUGGGGAGCAAACAGGAUUAGAUACCCUGGUAGUC